rnacentral:rRNA from 1 species
UUGAACGCUGGCGGCAGGCCUAACACAUGCAAGUCGAGCGGUAGCACAGAGAGCUUGCUCUCGGGUGACGAGCGGCGGACGGGUGAGUAAUGUCUGGGAAACUGCCUGAUGGAGGGGGAUAACUACUGGAAACGGUAGCUAAUACCGCAUAAUGUCGCAAGACCAAAGUGGGGGACCUUCGGGCCUCAUGCCAUCAGAUGUGCCCAGAUGGGAUUAGCUAGUAGGUGGGGUAACGGCUCACCUAGGCGACGAUCCCUAGCUGGUCUGAGAGGAUGACCAGCCACACUGGAACUGAGACACGGUCCAGACUCCUACGGGAGGCAGCAGUGGGGAAUAUUGCACAAUGGGCGCAAGCCUGAUGCAGCCAUGCCGCGUGUGUGAAGAAGGCCUUCGGGUUGUAAAGCACUUUCAGCGGGGAGGAAGGCGGUGAGGUUAAUAACCUCAUCGAUUGACGUUACCCGCAGAAGAAGCACCGGCUAACUCCGUGCCAGCAGCCGCGGUAAUACGGAGGGUGCAAGCGUUAAUCGGAAUUACUGGGCGUAAAGCGCACGCAGGCGGUCUGUCAAGUCGGAUGUGAAAUCCCCGGGCUCAACCUGGGAACUGCAUUCGAAACUGGCAGGCUAGAGUCUUGUAGAGGGGGGUAGAAUUCCAGGUGUAGCGGUGAAAUGCGUAGAGAUCUGGAGGAAUACCGGUGGCGAAGGCGGCCCCCUGGACAAAGACUGACGCUCAGGUGCGAAAGCGUGGGGAGCAAACAGGAUUAGAUACCCUGGUAGUCCACGCCGUAAACGAUGUCGAUUUGGAGGUUGUGCCCUUGAGGCGUGGCUUCCGGAGCUAACGCGUUAAAUCGACCGCCUGGGGAGUACGGCCGCAAGGUUAAAACUCAAAUGAAUUGACGGGGGCCCGCACAAGCGGUGGAGCAUGUGGUUUAAUUCGAUGCAACGCGAAGAACCUUACCUGGUCUUGACAUCCACAGAACUUUCCAGAGAUGGAUUGGUGCCUUCGGGAACUGUGAGACAGGUGCUGCAUGGCUGUCGUCAGCUCGUGUUGUGAAAUGUUGGGUUAAGUCCCGCAACGAGCGCAACCCUUAUCCUUUGUUGCCAGCAGUUAGGCCGGGAACUCAAAGGAGACUGCCAGUGAUAAACUGGAGGAAGGUGGGGAUGACGUCAAGUCAUCAUGGCCCUUACGACCAGGGCUACACACGUGCUACAAUGGCAUAUACAAAGAGAAGCGACCUCGCGAGAGCAAGCGGACCUCAUAAAGUAUGUCGUAGUCCGGAUUGGAGUCUGCAACUCGACUCCAUGAAGUCGGAAUCGCUAGUAAUCGUAGAUCAGAAUGCUACGGUGAAUACGUUCCCGGGCCUUGUACACACCGCCCGUCACACCAUGGGAGUGGGUUGCAAAAGAAGUAGGUAGCUUAACCUUCGGGAGGGCGCUUACCACUUUGUGAUUCAUGACUGGGGUG